rnacentral:rRNA from 1 species
GGGUUGUGAGGUUAAGCGACUAAGCGUACACGGUGGAUGCCCUGGCAGUCAGAGGCGAUGAAGGACGUGCUAAUCUGCGAUAAGCGUCGGUAAGGUGAUAUGAACCGUUAUAACCGGCGAUUUCCGAAUGGGGAAACCCAGUGUGUUUCGACACACUAUCAUUAACUGAAUCCAUAGGUUAAUGAGGCGAACCGGGGGAACUGAAACAUCUAAGUACCCCGAGGAAAAGAAAUCAACCGAGAUUCCCCCAGUAGCGGCGAGCGAACGGGGAGCAGCCCAGA